GUAAAGGUUAAAUUUUUUAAUGGUAAUAAUAGAAUUUGUUUCAAGUCAUACAUUUAUUACUCAUGGGAAUAAACAAAACAAAAAAUAAAACAUAUUUCAUAGGUGUAACAUCAUCCUAGAUAUAUUUUAUGCAGCAUCUAAUGGCGAUGGGUAUAACACAGUUGCUAUCUAUUUUCUUUAACUUCACACAUUUUGAACUGACUUAUGUAACAUACUUGAAGAAUACCAAAUUUAUUACUCCACUGUUCAAUGUUGGCAUCUCAGUGGCAUAGCUGGGGGGGGGGGGGGGG